rnacentral:rRNA from 1 species
CAGCCCUUGACAUGUCCGUCGCGGGCCCCUGAGAGGGGGUCCUUCGGUUCGGCCGGACGGAACACAGGUGCAUGCAUGGCUGUCGUCAGCUCGUGUCGUGAGAUGUUGGGUUAAGUCCCGCAACGAGCGCAACCCUUAUCGUUAGUUGCCAUCGGGUUAUUCCGGGCACUCUAGGGAAACCGCCGGUGACAAGCCGGAGGAAGGCGGGGAUGACGUCAAGUCUUCAUGGCCCUUAUGGGCUGGGCUACACACGUGCUACAAUGGCGGUGACAGUGGGCAGAGAAGGGGCGACCCGGAGCCAAUCCCCAAAAGCCGUCUCAGUUCGGAUUGCACUUUGCAACUCGGGUGCAUGAAGUCGGAAUCGCUAGUAAUCGCGGAUCAGCACGCCGCGGUGAAUACGUUCCCGGGCCUUGUACACCCCGCCCGUCACACCAUGGGAGUUGGUUCUACCUGAAGCCGGUGCGCCAACCGCAAGGAGGCAGCCGACCACGGUAGGGUCAGCGACUGGGGUG